GGGAGCAGUGGUGCAGGGCUGGUGGCGCAGCAGCACUUCCUUCCUAACAGGACUUGGGGUCCCGGUGCUGCUUCCUGCUGUGGGCACCUCCCUGCUCCCGCGGGGGUAGGGGUGCCUGGGGACACGGCAUCCUGGGGGCAGCUGCACCUUGCCUGCCCUCCUCCACCGGCAGUGAAGGUGCAGCGAUGCAGCUGGCUUCUGCUGGAGGUUGUGAGCAAGAAACGCCAGAAGCUGCCCAACAGCGUGAAGCUCUCCGUUCCGGUAAGCGCAGUGUCGGUGCUCCCCGGCAGGUGGUGCAACCCCGCAGUCAGCCUGCAGAGGAAAAAAGAAAGGAUGUGGGGAGAGGGGUGCCCUCCGGCUGAGGAGGGGACCCCGUGCGUGGAAGUGAGAUGGGGCUUAGCCCUGAAGUUUUCAAGGGUUCCCCUUGCAUGUGGGUGAAACUGGGGUGCCCUCCGGCUGAGGAGGGGACCCCGUGCGUGCAUGUGAGAUAGGGCUUAGCCCUGAAGUUUUCAAGGGUUCCCCUUGUUUGCAAGUAGAACUGGGGUGCCCUCCGGCUGAGGAGAGGACCCCGUGCGUGGAGGUGAGAUGGGGCUUAGCCCUGAAGUUUUCAAGGGUUCCCCUUGCGUGUGUGUCAAACUGGGGUGCCCUCCAGCUGAGGAGAGGACCCCGUGCGUGGAGGUGAGAUGGGGCUUAGCCCUGAAGUUUUCAAGGGUUCCCCUUGCGUGCGGGUGGAACUGGGGUGCCCUCCGGCUGAGGAGAGGACCCCGUGCGUGCGGGUGAGAUGGGGCUUAGCCCUGAAGUUUUCAAGGGUUCCCCUUGCGUGCGGGUGGAACUGGGGUGCCCUCCGGCUGAGGAGAGGACCCCGUGCGUGGAGGUGAGAUGGGGCUUAGCCCUGAAGUUUUCAAGGGUUCCCCUUGCGUGCGGGACAAACUGGGGUUCCCUCCGGCUGAGGAGGGGACCCCGUGCGUGCCAGUGAGAUGGGGCUUAGCCCUGAAGUUUUCAAGGGUUCCCCUUGCAUGCAGGUCAAACUGGGGUGCCCUCCGGCUGAGGAGGGGACCCCGUGCGUGGAGGUGAGAUGGGGCUUAGCCCUGAAGUUUUCAAGGGUUCCCCUUGUUUGCAAGUAGAACUGGGGUGCCCUCCGGCUGAGGAGAGGACCCCGUGCGUGGAGGUGAGAUGGGGCUUAGCCCUGAAGUUUUCAAGGGUUCCCCUUGCAUGCAGGUCAAACUGGGGUGCCCUCCGGCUGAGGAGGGGACCCCGUGCGUGGAGGUGAGAUGGGGCUUAGCCCUGAAGUUUUCAAGGGUUCCCCUUGUUUGCAAGUAGAACUGGGGUGCCCUCCGACUGAGGAGAGGACCCCGUGCGUGGAGGUGAGAUGGGGCUUAGCCCUGAAGUUUUCAAGGGUUCCCCUUGUUUGCAAGUAGAACUGGGGUGCCCUCCGGCUGAGGAGGGGACCCCGUGCGUGGAGGUGAGAUGGGGCUUAGCCCUGAAGUUUUCAAGGGUUCCCCUUGCAUGCAGGUCAAACUGGGGUGCCCUCCGGCUGAGGAGGGGACCCCGUGCGUGGAGGUGAGAUGGGGCUUAGCCCUGAAGUUUUCGAGGGUUCCCCUUGCGUGCGGGUGGAAAUGGGGUGCCCUCCAGCUGAGGAGAGGACCCCGUGCGUGGAGGUGAGAUGGGGCUUAGCCCUGAAGUUUUCAAGGGUUCCCCUUGCGUGCGGGUGGAACUGGGGUGCCCUCCGGCUGAGGAGGGGACCCCGUGCGUGGGGUAGAAGCCCCUGGUGAAGGGGUUUCUCCCCUGAGUGUGUGUGUGUGUGUGUACCUGUUUCUUGUUGCAAUUUCAGGUCCACUGUCUGCUCCAUAGCCAAGGUGGCCUUGCUGUUCUUUAGGGU
rnacentral:lncRNA from 7 species